CUGUCAGACGGGCAUCUUGAAGGCCUUUAGGGUAAAGGUCCUUUAACUCAAAUGUCAUUUAGGCGGUGUCAGACGCGCAAGUCAAAUGUCAUUCGGGCUAAAUGACAUUUACGUUCAACGGAGUUACAACAACUCCGUUAACUCCCCAACUGCCUACUCUCGUCGACAGCGAUCACGGAUGACGACGAAAAUAAUAAAAAAUAGAUAGUCUCACUUAGGAAUUCAUCAGUUAGAAUAAAUUUUAAAACAAUUUACGAAGCUGUCUGCUUACUUUAAAAAGACUUUAGCGCGACCACAGCAAUCAUGUUCUCUGCUCCUUCCUGUUCGUCGUAACUCGACUCGCCAUUGUGCUCGCCGCUCUCCUUAUCUCUUCGCUUUUGAUCUUGUUUUUGUGUUCUUCCUUCUCCUUCGCUUCUGCUUUCGUUGUAUUACUUAACUUUCAUUUUGCAGUGUUCUUUUGUAUUCCUAAAUAGAAAGUUUUAAUUUUUCCUUUUUCAUAGUUUGUAUUUAGUUUGUAUUUUGUCGAACGAUGACGGAGCCGUCGCAGAAGGGCCCGCGAGUCCAGUGGUCCGUCUCUGAGAUUUGGGCCUUGAUCGGCCUUUGGGAGGAUAGGUUGUGCGACCUCCGGCGCCAAAAAAGGAAUGGGGGGAUUUACGCCGAAAUGUCAGAGGCGAUGAAGUUAAUUGGGCAUAACAAGUCCAAGGAUCAAGUGCACAACAAGAUCGAAAACCUCACGAGCGUCUACCGGAAGCACCUGCGGACGGCCAGCACAACCGGAGCAGGAGGAGUGAACUGGCCGUUCUACUGGGAGAUUCACCGUUUCCUGGGAUCCCUGCCCGCAAACGACAACACUCUCGUGGACGAGAGCUUGUGUGCAGAUGAUGUGACACCAGCUGUGUUGGAGCUGCUUUCAGAAACACAGGCAGAGGAUGUCCCGUCAGACGACAUGAGGGACGACACAUCCGACGAGACGUCCCAGGAGCUGCCUGGUGCGAGUACCAGCGAACUGCCUGGUGCAAGUACCGGCGAGCUGCCUGGUGCGAGCACCAGCAAAUCUAGGAGCGGCCACAAUGCUGGCAGCAGCAACCCUGCUGGCCGUGGAAAGAAGGCCGGUGGUGCCAGUAAUGGCACAACUAUCAUGUUGCCGCAGGUGCCAGAGUCAGGAAAAAGGAAAAGACCCCCGCACCCCUCUGCCACCCUCGCAAAGGCGGUAAUUGAGGAGCAAAAGUUGCUCCGUUUAAGUUUGGAAACGGCUCGGGGCCGUGAGUUCACUCUGCGGGAGCAGGAGCUCAAAAUUCAAGAAAAAGCACUGGCCGUGCAAGAAAAGCUUGCGAAUGCCAUGAUGGCCUUUUUCAAUAAAACAGGCUAGAGCGGAAGCUGUAGCUUCAAAAAAGCAUGCUGCAUAAACUAG